CGUGUGGUUCUAUUUUGUUGGUUUCUAGGACCGCCGUAAUGAUUAAUAGGGACAGUCGGGGACAUCAGUAUUCAAUUGUCAGAGGUGAAAUUCUUGGAUUUAUUGAAGACUAACUACUGCGAAAGCAUUUGCCAAGGAUGUUUUCAUUAAUCAGGAACGAAAGUUAGGGGAUCGAAGACGAUCAGAUACCGUCGUAGUCUUAACCAUAAACUAUGCCGACUAGGGAUCGGACGAUGUUACAUUUUUGACGCGUUCGGCACCUUACGAGAAAUCAAAGUGCUUGGGCUCCAGGGGGAGUAUGGUCGCAAGGCUGAAACUUAAAGAAAUUGACGGAAGGGCACCACCAGGGGUGGAGCCUGCGGCUUAAUUUGACUCAACACGGGGAAACUCACCAGGCCCAGACACAAUGAGGAUUGACAGAUUGAGAGCUCUUUCUUGAUUUUGUGGGUGGUGGUGCAUGGCCGUUCUUAGUUGGUGGAGUGAUUUGUCUGCUUAAUUGCGAUAACGAACGAGACCUUAACCUGCUAAAUAGCCCGUAUUGCUUUGGCAGUACGCCGGCUUCUUAGAGGGACUAUCGGCUCAAGCCGAUGGAAGUUUGAGGCAAUAACAGGUCUGUGAUGCCCUUAGAUGUCCUGGGCCGCACGCGCGCUACACUGACGGAGCCAGCGAGUACUCCCUUGGCCGGAAGCCUGGGUAAUCUUGUUAAACUCCGUCGUGC
rnacentral:rRNA from 1 species